rnacentral:rRNA from 2 species
AUUCGAGGUGUUACACUAAUGCACCGGAUCCCAUCAGAACUCCGCAGUUAAGCGUGCUUGGGCGAGAGUAGUACUAGGAUGGGUGACCCCCUGGGUCGUCCUCGUGUUGCAACCC